GGUGGAUAUUCCUUCUAUGUUUA
rnacentral:miRNA from 8 species